rnacentral:rRNA from 1 species
UACAGAGGUCUCAAGCGUUGUUCGGAUUCAUUGGGCGUAAAGAGCUCGUAGGCGGUUUGUCGCGUCUGCUGUGAAAACUCGGGGCUUAACCCCGGGCCUGCAGUGGGUACGGGCAGACUAGAGUGCGGUAGGGGAGACUGGAAUUCCUGGUGUAGCGGUGAAAUGCGCAGAUAUCAGGAGGAACACCGGUGGCGAAGGCGCUGCUCUGGGCGGUACUGACGCUGAGGAGCGAAAGCGUGGGUAGCAAACAGG